rnacentral:rRNA from 1 species
UACGGAGGGGCGAGCGUUGUCCGAAGUUACUGGGCGUAAAGCGCGCGUAGGCGGUUGGUAAGUCCGCUGUGAAAGCCCCGAGCUUAACUUGGGAAUUGCGCUUGUGACUGGCGUGCUGGAGUGUGGCAGAGGGAGGUGGAAUUCCACGUGUAGCAGUGAAAUGCGUAGAGAUGUGGAGGAACACCGAUGGCGAAGGCAGCCUCCUGGGCCAGCACUGACGCUCAUGCACGAAGCGUGGGAGCAACAGG